AGCGAACGCUGGCGGCAGGCCUAACACAUGCAAGUCGAGCGGCCGUAGCAAUACGGCAGCGGCAGACGGGAGAGUAACACGUGGGAACGCGCCCUUCGGUUCGGAAUAACUCAGGGAAACUUGGGCUAAUACCGGAUACGCCCUUACGGGGAAAGAUUUAUUGCCGAAGGAACGGCCCGCGUCCGAUUAGCUUGUUGGUGAGGUAACGGCUCACCAAGGCGACGAUCGGUAGCUGGUCUGAGAGGAUGACCAGCCUCACCGGGACUGAGACACGGCCCAGACUCCUACGGGAGGCAGCAGUGGGGAAUAUUGGACAAUGGGCGCAAGCCUGAUCCAGCCAUGCCGCGUGAGUGAUGAAGGCCCUAGGGUUGUAAAGCUCUUUCAGCGGGGAAGAUAAUGACGGUACCCGCAGAAGAAGCCCCGGCUAACUUCGUGCCAGCCGCCGCAGUAACAC
rnacentral:rRNA from 1 species